CAGAAUCCCAACCCGUAUGUUUCUCCCCUCUCCUGUAAAUCUCCACAACAAUAAGUAUAACAGUCAAUAUAUAUGGACACAGCUGCAUGAGGGCAAAUCAAGGAAAAACAGAAAAACACAUCAAUCAGGUUGCUUGUUCAAUAUACACACCUUCACAAACAUUAUCUUCUCCUUUUCAUAUUUUCUUUCUAGCACAUAAUAAGCACCAUCAUCCAUAUUUCAAAGUCCUGAUUGUUAAUUUUGCAUGUGUGUGUGGCAAUCUGGAUUCAGCAAAAGCUCUGAAUCCUUUCCUGGGAAUCUUAGUGUUAUCAUAGAUUCUUCCCUGCUAAAGAAUACUUGUUGGAAAUAAGAAACACAAGAGGUUUUAUAUGCUAAUAAUAAUAUGCUACAGAAAUACAAAAACCAGAAAUGAGAUGACCAAAAAAAAUGAGCUUGUAGUAUAAAUACCAACUGCAACUACCAACUACAAACGCCUUGUCCCAGCUUAUCAGGAAAUCAUCUUCUCAAGCGUAUAGUACAAAAACCAAAUACUUUGUAGAAGCAUAUAUAUGCACCCCCCCCCCUAUAUUUUAAUAUAAAUGCACCGUAAUUUUACGCCCCGCAAAUUUUAUUUUAUUUAAUACGUAAAAUAAUGAUGGUAAGAAAAUAUAUAAUGGCCAUAAAAAUAUUUUAUGUUACGUAAAAUCACAAACGUAAAAACAUAGUGUAUAAUAUGCACAAAAUGCUAUUUUCCUGGUCUUAUGACCUAUAUAUUUGUUUUCUUAUGCCAAAUUUUACGCAGUGAAUCAAUAUGAAUAUAACUAUUUAUAUUGCAAAUAUAAUUUAUUUAUAGAAGGAUCGUAAAAUUACCUUGGAUAAAGAAUAACUUAAGAGAGAGAGAAAGGCUCAAUGGCAAUGGGCAUAUGUGCAGUAGAGCCGUAACCUUAAAUAUUGUUGCCAUGCUUAUCUGCACUAAAAAGGAUAAAGAGUGACCCUGACCCAUGUGCAUUGAGGGGUACACCAAAGUUAGUCAUAUGCCUAAGCUUGGUUUGUGGAAAAGGAAAAAAACAAUUAUUUAUUGUAGGAACGGGGGAGAGAGGAGUACCUCCAGCACAAGUGUUUUGUGCGUGGCGGCUGUCUCAGGAACGGGAGAUGGCUGGGAGCCUCCUUUUAGGUUAGUCCCACUACAUGGGCCUGGGCCCUAAGAGAUAACUUGUAUGGGCUGGGCCAUACCAGUUCAACACUUCCCCUCAAGAUGGGUGGUAGAUAUCUAUCAUUCCCAUCUUGUCACAUGCCAAGUUACAAUCCUUUCUUCCCAGACCCUUUGUCAAACAAUCUGCAAACUGCUGCCCAGAACUGACAUGAGUAAGGCUGAUGACCCCGGCAUCAAGCUUCUCCUUAAUGAAGAACCGAUCAAUUUCCACAUGCUUUGUCCUAUCAUGUUGAACUGGGUUAUUAGCGAUGGCUAUAGCUGACUGAUUGUCACACCACACCUUCAAGGGCCCCUUCCUCAGAAGUUUCAACUCGCUCAGUAGGUACUUCACCCAGAGCAUCUCACACAACCCUUGAGAUAAUGCUCUAUACUCAGCUUCUGCUGUUGAUCUAGACACAACCGGCUGUUUCUUGCUUCUCCAUGAUACCAAAUUUCCUCCCACAAACACGCAGUAACCAGAAGUUGAUCUUCUAUCAUCUUGACAACUGGCCCAGUCAGAGUCACUAUAGCCAUCCACCUCAAGAUGUCCACUCUUCCCAAACCACAACCCUUUACCCGGAGUCCCCUUCAAGUAUCUCAGGAUUCUGUGCACAAUAUCAAGAUGCCCACUCCUUGGUUCAUGCAUGUAUCUGCUCACCACCCCCGUAGCAUACGUAAUGUCAGGCCUGGUAUGACACAAGUACAACAACCUUCCAACCAGUUUCUGAUACUCUUCCUUAUUCACUAGCUCUCCUGAUUGUGCUGUCACUUGGUGAUUUUUUUCAAUCGGAGUAGGGGCAGUACGACAUCCCAUCAUGCCCACGUCACUCAAGAGAUCCAAGGUGUAUUUUCGUUGGCACAAAGAGAUUCCCUUCUCUGUCCGAGCCACUUCAAUGCCAAGAAAGUAUUUUAGGUUACCCAAAUCCUUUACCUCAAACUCCUUGCUCAAACAACCCUUCAAUCUCUCUAUUUCCUCCUCAUCAUCUCCAUCUCCAGUGAUGAUAAUGUCAUCCACAUAAACAGCAAGAAUGGUGAUCUUCCGAUCAGAGUGCUUGUAGAACAUCGUGUGGUCACCGUUACACUGACCAUACCCCAUACCACGGACAGCACGUCUGAACCUAUCAAACCAGGCCCUUGGUGAUUGCUUCAGUCCAUACAAGGAUUUCUUCAGCCUGCAUACCUUCCCCGUAGUCUCUGAAGUACCAAAACCUGGUGGUAUUUCCAUGUAGACUUCUUCUUGCAACUCACCAUGCAAGAGGGCAUUUUUGACAUCUAAUUGAUGCAACUUCCACCCAAAGUUUGCAGCACAGGAGACCAAUAUCCUUACUGUGUUCAUCUUUGCCACGGGAGCAAACGUCUCAUCAUAGUCAAUUCCAUAAGUUUGACUAUAUCCUCUGGCGACCAAUCUGGCCUUAUACCGUUCCACCUUCCCUUCAGGAUUCUGCUUCACUACAUAGAUCCACUUACAACUCACUGCUUUCUUUUCUGUCGGCAAUGUGGUUAGCACCCAUGUCUUGUUUUUCCUUAGUGCUUCCAACUCUUCUAUCAUCGCUUCACGCCACCUCGGAUCUUGCUUUGCAGCCUUCCAAUCCUUUGGAAUUGACACAGUUUGAAGGGAGGCAACAAACGCCUUAUAUGUGGGUGACAAAGCCUUAUAAGACACAAAAUUGCCAAUAUCAAGAUCAUCACAAGCAUCAUCCUUCGGUAGAGCCUUCCUUGCUACUUCACCCUUUCUUGCCGCUUCACGUGUAGCCUUUCGCAAUGCAAUGGGCAGCUCCACUGUGUCAGAUGAGCUCGUCUCACUAUCUUGCUGCUCCCCCUGCACUCUUGCCUCACUGUCUUGCUGCUCCCCUUGCACGUGUGGUUGCCGUCGAGAGUACACUAGGGUGUUCGUCUGCCAUCGAUCCCGAACAGGAACCCGAAGAGCACCAAUCUUAAGUGUAUCGACGGUUGGCUCGACAGGAACCUGCACAUCAUCAUCAGUGAGAGUACUAACCGGAAUUGUUCCCACUGUUGGUUGGACCUGAACUUGCACAUCAUUAGCAGUGUUAUUGCCCACAGAAUCACCCUGAGUAUGAGACACAUCCUUCUCCCCCUCUUGACCAUCGUGCACAUGAUGUAGGUGGUCAAGCUCUGCAAAUAGCAGACUGAGAUCAGUCGGCGUACCAUAGAAUGGCUCGGACUGCCUGAAGAUAACAUCCAUACUCACGAACCUGCGUUUUUCAGAGGGAGACCAACAUUUAUACCCCUGCUGACUAGAAGAGUAUCCCAGGAAGACACACUUCACUGCCCGAGGAUCAAGCUUUCCAACAUAUGGUCGGUGAUCACGAACAAAGCAAGUACUGCCAAACAACUUUGGGGAAACAACAAACUUAUUAUCUCCAAUGAGCAACUCAGACGGAGAUUUCAUACCUAAUAUCCUGGAAGGUGUCCGGUUGAUCAGGUACGUGGCUGUCAUAACUGCUUCAUCCCAUAAGAACUUAGGCACAUUCAUGGUAAACAUUAAUGACCGAGCAACCUCAAGAAUAUGACGAUUCUUCCUUUCGGCCACUCCAUUCUAAGGUGGGGUGUCCGGACAUGAAGUUUGAUGAAGAAUCCCUUGGUUAGCCAUGAAAUCCCCAAAAAUAUUGUUCACAUACUCUGUACCAUUGUCAGUCCUGAGCACGUUGACCUGCACCUGAAACUGGUUCUUUACAAGAGCAUGGAAGUUCUGAAAACAGCUAAACACCUCAUCCUUGUGACGCAUCAAGUAAAUCCAAGUCAUACGAGAAUAGCAGUCAAUAAAGGUAACAAGAUACUUCUUUCCAUUCAUUGACACUACUGGGCUAGUCCAUACAUCCGAAUGAAUGAGCAUAAAAGAAGAUAUGCUCCUAAGCCCCUUACUCACAUAUGAGGCUCGUGUGUGUUUUGCAUAUUCGCAAGCAUCACAUGUCAACUUGCCAUUGCCUAUUCCACACAUAACAUCCGGAAAGAUUCUACUCAUCUUAUCAAAAGAUACAUGACCCAUUCUACAAUGAUGGAUCAUCGUCUGCUUCUCCUUGUCCUCCAUGGUCGCAGCACACACCAAGUUCGGUUGCACCUCCUGGUCCAUGUACCAGAGCCCCCUACGCCUGGUGCCAGUCUCAACCGUCUGGCUCGUCUAUCCCUCCUGAAUCAAGCAACCGAACUUGUCAAGGAUCACACGACAGUCUAUUUGAUCAAUGAGAGCACUGAAAGAGACCAAAUUGACAGGAAAAGUUGGCACAUGCAAAACUGACGAUAAUGAGAUGGUUGAAGUGCAUGUGACUGUGCCAACCCCUACGACAGGCUGAUUAAUACCAUCGGCAGUUUGUACAGUGCCCUUGUGAGUAGGAGCAUGCUUAUGGUAAGACUCAAACACACACGAAUUACCCGCAACAUGCUUAGAUGCUCCAAAGUCUAAGACCCACUCUAAAGCACUCUCAUUAGGAGGAAGACAUGCCUUCAUCGAAUUACCUUCAUCAGUGGAGGCCCAGUGAGCAAAGUCUCCAUAGGCCGCCUCAUCAACUCCCUUGCCCUGUGACGUCCCAGUGUCCUCUUCAACUACCAUAUGCGCCCUGCCCCCUAAGUUUCCUGAGUAGCCACCUCUGCCCCUAGAAAGUUGACCCCCUGAGUUCCAUGGGUAUCCACCUCUGCCUCGAGCAUACCUUCCUCUGCCAGUGCCCCCUCUGUUGUAUCCCCUGCCUCUACCACGAGUUGGACAUUCCCUCUUCCAAUGACCUACCUCCCCACAAAUAUGACAUUUGUUGGGAUCUCCCCACUCCAUGCGCUCAGUGACUGCAAAUGUCGAAGCUGGCACAAACUUCACGUUUGCAUGCGCAAGAGAUAGCCUCACCUCCUCUUGAGACAUUGCUGCAAUAGUCUCCUCAAUAGUUGGCAGGAGAGGUUGGUGCAACAGGGAAGCCCCCCUGCCAUGAAAGCAACCUCUGAGGCCUUCCAACAGUUUCAGCACGCGCCUGCGUGCAAUCCACUUGCGCCCUGACUCGAUGCACGCCGCAUCAUAGAGUUCCAGAGGAUCACAGUUAUCCUGCUCUGCCCACAAAGCCUGCAGCUCUGCUACAUAUGUCAUCACUGACAUGUCAUCGCCUUGGCGCAGCCGACUGAUCUUCCCCUCAAUCUGAGCAAUUAGCAUGAAAUUACCCUUGCCUGAGUAUUGGGUGGAUAGAGUCUUCCAUAUCUCGGCGGACGUGGAUAGUCCCUCCACAGAGCGACCAAUGGAGGGCACCACUGAGUUCAACAACCAGCCAACAAGCACAGAGUUUAUGACCUUCCACCGCUUUCCCUCCGCGGUAGUCUUGUCUCCGGGUUCAUCAACCGCACCCAAUAAGUGCCCAUCAAGUUCCUUCUGUUCCACAGCCAGCAAUGCCCUUCUGGACCAGCUCAAAUAAUUUGUGGCCCCCUCUAGCUUCAUGUCCAGGGGUGACAUUUCGAGCUUCUGAGCCACUUCCUGUCGAGGAACGAUGGCCCCAGAGUUGGAGUUGGACUCCGUGAGGAUCUUAGCGAGCUUCUCGAAAGCCUCAGCAAGCGCAUUUGGUUCAGCCAUCUCCGAUCCGGUAAACAGCAGCAGCAGCCCUCAGCAGCACAGCCCUACAGCUGCACGGUUGGUCCCUUUACACCCCCUGGCUAGCAGCAGCACCCAGCAACUCAGCAGCUCCAAGUGCAAGCAGCAACCACAGCCUCUUCCUCCAGCAGCAGUUCUCUCCCUUCUUCCUCUGCAAACAGCAGCAGUUCUCUUCCUCCUUCCUCUGCAAACAACAGCAGUUCUCUUCCUCCUUCCUCUGCAAACAGCAGCAGUUUCAGAGGAUCUUGGCCUCCAACAGCAGCCAACCCCCGCAGCAGUUCUCCAGCUCCCGGUCCCUGCAGACACACGCACACACACCAGCACAACAAGGAGCUGCCCUUCUCCACUACCCUUCUCCUCUUCUCCUCCCGCAGCACCACAGCCCGUUGGAGACCAAGCCGCUCCUCAGCUUCCUCCUCCUGCCGCGCAACACAGCAGCUCCACCUCUCCUUCUUCCUCUGCCGUGCAGCACAGCCUCCACCUCUCCUUCCUCUCCAACGAGCCGCACCUCCUGCGCAGCCACGCCACGCCUCCCAGAUCCGCCGCUGCCUCGCCGGACGCCGCCCAGAUCCAACGCCACCUCGCCGGACGUCGCCGUCGUCUUCUCAGGCCCCGCCGUCGCUGGCUCUGAUACCAUGUAGGAACGGGGGGAGAGAGGAGUACGGGAGGGAGAGAGGAGUACCUCCAGCACAAGUGUUUUGUGUGUGGCGGCUGUCUCAGGAACGGGAGAUGGCUAGGAGCCUCCUUUUAGGUUAGUCCCACUACAUGGGCCUGGGCCCUAAGAGAUAACUUGUAUGGGCUGGGCCAUACCGGUUCAACAUUUAUGUGCCUAACACACCAGCAAAUCAAAUGCAGCCUCCACUACAUGUCAAUAGUUCCAUGAAAAAAACAAAAAAAACUAAUACGAUAUUUAAUUGUAAGCAUACAACAAAUAGUACCACUCUAAAUCUGGUGUCGCCAUUCCUCAAAACAGAAAUUUUCAACCUUUCUUUUUUUUUAAAUUACAAUAAAGAGUAUCAAUGUUUAAGUUUCUAAGAAAAAAAGGAGAAGAAAAGUUUAGAACCAUGGGUUCAAUAUGAGAUUAGAACUACAGCCACCAUGCGAGUAGCCGAGGAUAGGGAAAUGUUGACAAUAUUAGAGCAUGUUUACGUCAGGAUAAAAUGUUGUCAAAAUUAUUCAUCUAGUUCAAUUAAGUUCUAUGAUGUAUAAAGUAUGUACUUGGCAAGAAAAAUACAAGGGGUUACCUGGAUAUAUGAUGCUGCAGUACACAUAUAUUUAUCUAACUAAAAUUAAGCCCACCACUUCCCGCUCUCAUAUUACUUCAGAAUCAUCAGUAUGAGAAAACAUUGAUACCCAUUACUUUAUACUGAUAAACUCCAUGCUCCGAGACAAGGUUGCACACGUCAUCGCCGACAAUUCCCUUCUCUUCUCGAAUCAACAUAUAACCAUGUUUUUAUCUUACAAGAGAAGGGAAUCCUCGCAAUCUGCUAGAUACAACAAGGUACUUUUGUAUGACGUGCCUGAGCCAUCAAUUUGCCGGUCCUUUUCUUCCUGAAACCAACAGAGACAACACCGACUGAUUUUCCAGCACGCAAUAGCUUCCCCUCAACUUCUAUUUCUUCCUGUAAAAAUAAAAGAAAUAGUUUACGGCAUGUCAAAUAACUAUUAAAAUAACAUAAGAGUGAAAAGACAAAGGUAUGUACAAAAUUAAUCAAGCCUUAUGAUGCUAUUCUAGCAAGAAACUGGCCAAAUCUGCCCUUUGGGGGGUAGGGGUGGGGGCAAAAAUUAUGAGAAAAGAUAACGCCCAUAUGUGUGGGUGUUUGCAAACCGUCCACACGCAUGAAUCUGCGUCUGUUUGUGCUUUGCAUUAAUCUUGGUAUUUUUUGAUAGUUUUUCUGUACCACGUAGGACUGAACUGGUGUGUCGGUAUUUAACCACUUCGCCCACACGGCCGUUUCUUUCUCAGCAGGAAUCUUUUUUGGUUUUCGGUUUAAAAAUGUUUUAUCAUGACAACUUCAGUGUAACAUCAUGACAACUGUUGAAGCACCCAUUUUUUUAAAUGUAACAUCAUGGCAACUGUUGUAACAUCAUGAAAUUUUUUUAAAUGUAGAAGAAAAAAUAGGUGAAACAUAUCAUGGCAACUUCAGUGUAAACACCAUGGCAUGGCAACUACAGUGUAACAUCAUGGCAACUGUUGUCCAAAAAAAUAAUUUAUCGAAAUAUAUUGAUAUGAGAUCUAGUUUCGAAGAUCUCGUCGCGAUGGAUUUAAUGAUAAAAACGGAUCUUCAAUCGGAUUUUUCAUUUACAAGAUAAAACAUUUUAAAAACUCAAAAUCCAAAAAGAUACCCACAUGCAUACAUGUGGUUUGGGCGUUAGCUAUUUUGCCCACACUCAGGCGUGUGAGCUAUUUCUCUUACACACCACACAAGAUGUAUGGGCAACACCCCUUAACACCCAGACGUGUGGGUGUUAUCAGGACCCAAAAUUAUAACCAAGCAACCUGAAAAGUACGUUUGGAUUUUUCAGAGCAAUAUUUGGACAACAUGACAAUAACUAUGAUCCUGAACUAAUUCUAGGAACCUCUUCAGAGCAAUAUCUGAACAAGAUGACAAUAAUUCAGAUCCUAAACUUAUUCUAGGAAACAUUUUGUACCCAGCUCCAGUCUGUAUUGAGCGAGUCAAAGGAAACAAAAAAUGAAUAACACCGUGUAAAUGCAGGCGCACUGAAUUCAACCAUCUUUUCUAAUUAGUACACACUUAUAUUCCUAUAAUAUUAAAAUGACUGGACGGUAAGAAGUGGUGGACCUUUUAUCUUGCCAAUUGAGAAAUAUUCAGUCGAGUAACAGACAAAAAAGAUCUCCACAUUUGAUCUGAACCAAUGAGAAAAGAGGGUCGUGUAUUUAACAUAGGUUCUGAAGUACGAGAAGAAUGCUCACCAAUUUGUUUCAGAUUCGAACUGAAUGCAUAAUAUCUUAGAUCGCGCAACCUAAGGUAAUGCAAAGAAAUAAAAUCAUACUAUUUAGGCAAUCCAAAUAGGCAUUGUAUGUACAGAAAAAUCAAAGGCGAAAUAGCAAAACAUCCAUGAAACUAAGCCAGUCACAUGAUGAUCAUAUUAAUGUCCACCUACAGCGGCCAAGUUUAGAAACCCCAAACGAGUGAGCAGAUGAAGCCAAGAAAAAGAAACACACUGAAGGGGAUCGGGAGACAGGGCCACCUACAUCGACCAAGUUUAGAAACCCCAAACAUGUGAGCAGAUCAAGCCAAGAAAAAAAAACACGAAAGGAGAUCGGGAGACACGACGGAGACCUUGAGGCGGGAAAGAGAGAUGGAGCGGGGUCGGGCUGCUUCUUCCCCUUACCUCUGCCCUCCCCCAUCUUCCCCACAAACCCCACAGCUGCUGCGUUGCUAGGCAUGGAGGGAGAGAGGAGCAGCAAAAGCAAGGACGCGGCGAGGAGGCAAAAACAGGCGGCGGACCUCCUUCAUCUUCCUUCCCCGUACCCGCACCCCACCGUCACUGGAGCUGCUCUUUUCCGGCUCGGAUCCGUUGUCUAGGUGUGUUUAUUUAGACUAACAUAGAUACUAGUAACAUAGAUGCC
rnacentral:lncRNA from 1 species